CACUGUAGAGCUAGAUUAGCAUUAACCUUUUAAGUUAAAGACU
rnacentral:tRNA from 1 species